GGUGGCUUGAUGGAGAUUCACAAAAGUCAUAUCAAGAAAUUGUAAUGAGGAAAGACUAGAAAUCCAAUCCAAAUUCUCAACGUAUGGCUCAGAGUAAUAAAAAUAAUAAUAACUAUGGAGAUUAAGAUAGUUCAAAUUUGAGAGAUUGCCAAGUUGAUGAGGAAUCAUUCCUCCGAAUCCUGCUUUAGAGAGGUCAAGGUGUCUUAAUGUCUCCACAGAGCCAAGGAAUUUGGGAAUUUCCUUCAAAAUUAUUCUUGCUUAGGUCUAGGUACUUCAGAUGCUUAAACUCGAGUAAGGAUUGACUAAUCUUACCUUGGAAUGCCGACCUUGCCCA
rnacentral:misc_RNA from 1 species